CCUACGGGUGGCAGCAGUAGGGAAUAUUGCUCAAUGGGCGAAAGCCUGACGCAGCAACGCCGCGUGGAGGAUGAAGGUUUUCGGAUUGUAAACCUCUUUUGUUAGAGAAGAUCAUGACGUUAUCUAACGAAUAAUCACCGGCUAACACCGUGCCAGCAGCCGCGGUACUACGGAGGGUGCAAGCGUUACUCGGAAUCACUGGGCGUAAAGAGCGCGUAGGCGGGAUAGCAAGUCAGAGGUGAAAUCCUUUGGCUUAACCAUAGAACUGCAUUUGAAACUGUUAUUCUAGAGUGUGUGGGAGGUAGGUGGAAUUCUUGGUGUAGGGGUGAAAUCCGUAGAGAUCAAGAGGAAUACUCAUUGCGAAGGCGACCUGCUAGAACAUAACUGACGCUGAGGCGCGAAAGCGUGGGUAGCAAACAGGAUUAGAUACCCGUGUAGUC
rnacentral:rRNA from 1 species